rnacentral:rRNA from 1 species
UGCCAGCCGCCGCGGUAAUACGGAGGAUGCAAGCGUUAUCCGGAUUCAUUGGGUUUAAAGGGUGCGUAGGCGGAAGAAUAAGUCAGUGGUGAAAGCCUGCGGCUUAACCGUAGAAUUGCCAUUGAUACUGUUUUUCUUGAGUAUAGUUGAAGUGGGCGGAAUGUGUAAUGUAGCGGUGAAAUGCUUAGAUAUUACACAGAACACCAAUUGCGAAGGCAGCUCACUAAGCUGUUACUGACGCUGAGGCACGAAAGCGUGGGGAGCAAACAGGAUUAGAUA